rnacentral:rRNA from 1 species
AUACGUAGGGUGCGAGCGUUAAUCGGAAUUACUGGGCGUAAAGCGCGCGUAGGCGGCUAGAUCAGUCGGAUGUGAAAGCCCUGGGCUUAACCUGGGAACUGCAUUCGAUACUGUCUAGCUAGAGUAUGGUAGAGGGAAGCGGAAUUCCGGGUGUAGCGGUGAAAUGCGUAGAUAUCCGGAGGAACACCAGUGGCGAAGGCGGCUUCCUGGACCAAUACUGACGCUGAGGUGCGAAAGCGUGGGGAGCAAACAGGAUUAGAUACCCCAGUAGUCC